UACGUAGGGUGCAAGCGUUAAUCGGAAUUACUGGGCGUAAAGCGUGCGCAGGCGGUGAUGUAAGACCGAUGUGAAAUCCCCGGGCUUAACCUGGGAACUGCAUUGGUGACUGCAUUGCUGGAGUAUGGCAGAGGGGGGUGGAAUUCCACGUGUAGCAGUGAAAUGCGUAGAGAUGUGGAGGAACACCGAUGGCGAAGGCAGCCCCUGGGCCAAUACUGACGCUCAUGCACGAAAGCGUGGGGAGCAAAC
rnacentral:rRNA from 1 species